rnacentral:rRNA from 1 species
CAAGACCUUACGCUCUUGGAGCGGCCGAUGUCUGAUUAGCUAGUUGGUGAGGUAAAGGCUUACCAAGGCGACGAUCAGUAGCUGGUCUGAGAGGACGACCAGCCACACUGGGACUGAGACACGGCCCAGACUCCUACGGGAGGCAGCAGUGGGGAAUUUUGGACAAUGGGGGAAACCCUGAUCCAGCCAUGCCGCGUGAGUGAAGAAGGCCUUCGGGUUGUAAAGCUCUUUCAGCCGGAACGAAACGGUCACGGCUAGUACCUGUGAUCACUGACGGUACCGGAAGAAGAAGCACCGGCUAACUACGUGCCAGCAGCCGCGGUAAUACGUAGGGUGCAAGCGUUAAUCGGAAUUACUGGGCGUAAAGCGUGCGCAGGCGGUUUUGUAAGUCAGAUGUGAAAUCCCCGGGCUUAACCUGGGAACU